GCUUUUAUCCCAUACUCCAGUGACAUGGGGCUUAAGUCACAAAAGUCACUGUCCAGCCUACAGUUGGUCACAAUUGACUGAGCAGACUUAGAACUUAGCUUGGAAUGCUCUGGUCCCUCUACCAGUGGGCCUUAGAGGCCUGGGUUCUGCCUUCCUCUUCCCUUCAGGGUUAUGGCACAGGUAAAUUCACACUGAAUGUAGUCUACUCUGAUAUGAAGUUCCCCUGGAAGAUAUAUGUGCUGUGUAUGGCCUUUCUGGGGGUGUCAGCAAUAUGGAACUACACCAUGGCCAGCCCAAGUAAACAAUAGAGAAAUUGGUGAUGACCAAGCUGAGCAAGUGCCACCACGGUGAGACCCACAAGAUACCCCAGGACUAUCCAGGAGAACUGCUAAGUGUGUAUUAGAGUGCCCACACGGUGAGGAGACUAGGACAAGGGACAUAUUGAUGGGAGCUCUGACAGCUCUCCUGUCCACGCACCCAAGCCUGAAAAACACCUCACAGAAUCCCCUGAAGUCUGUUCUCUUGUUCCCACUCCGUUUUGUCAGAUGCACUGUGAAAGAAGAGUCCAUUUUAGAAUGCAGGUUGGGGUGGGGUCUCUUCAGCUGUCAGCUCCACAGCAAGGCCAAAAUCAGAGCAAAUGAGGUCAGACAGCAGAGGGUGUGCGGACGGGAUGCCAGGGCUCUGGCUCCAAGCAACAGCGGUAGAGGACAGCUACGGGAGCUACAGAAGUCAAGAAGUCAGCUCAUCCCGAUGGAGGCAAAGAGAAAGCCUGACUGGAUGGCAGAGAGCCUGCAGCCAGGGGCUGGGAAGCCAGGGGCUGGGAAGCAAGGCUGGAAGGCGGCUGCAGAGCUAUGCUGUCUCACAGUGGAGUGAGGGAGCAAGGAGGCUGCGGGUCUACGCCCUUGCUCCUUGGGGUACUUCAGCUCAUUCUAGGGAAACUCUCCUCAGGACCCACUGCUGACAAAGUCAGCAUUACACAGAGGCUUGGUCAACCCACUCAGCAGAUACUCAAGCAUGGGCCGCUCUGAGGGGCUGGAGUAGGCAGACCCUUCUGUUCAGGUUCACCCUAGCACCAGUCAUCGCUGCAAGUGGCUCUGAUAUCCUAAUCACAAACCUGACCCUUCUGGAAUUACUGCCCCCUUUUAGUCAGUGGCAGAACCCCUCUGCUCUCAGCAUGCACGAGAGAUUCCUCCCCACUUUCCUACUCUUUUGGAACUUGUCAGCACAGCACAUGAAGAGCAGAGCCCUUCCUAAGGCUUGGCUCUUACUGUCUCUCUGUGAAGCAGGUUGACUGUGUACAGGAAAGAAGUUCAGGGAGAGAUUCCGAACACUCAGCCAAUGUCACACACCAGUUCCUUUCCAUUUGCUCAGAGAAGCAGAACUAAUGCCACAGUUAAGUGAAGCAACCACAUGCACACAUGUGUACACAAACCUGCCUCAGACAUAUGCCUAAACCACACACACACACACACACACACACACACACACACACACACACACACACACACACACACACCCUGAACUCCAAAAGCUAAUUCUCAUUUUUUUCCUGUACUUCUACUGGUUCCAGUGAAUUCCCCAGACUAUCACCAAACCCUAACAUACAAUAACAUGCCCCAACUACUAUGAGCAUGUUCCCUGAAUAUGUUUUUGUUUUGCUUUUGUGUACACCACAUCCGACUCCUGGAACACAUCACCUCCCCUGGAGCCAAUGAUUUUCUAUGUGCCCCAUGUGACAGUUGGGACCACAGUUGUCCUGUAUGCCUCCGAAGCCCUGCAGAUUUCUAUGAUAUGUCACUCAUGGAGAAAUCAUUUUCUACGUAGUGUCAGUCAGCUUGGUCACUUCCCAUAAACUAACUAUGGCUGGACUUAGCCACCUCACUGGCCCCAGGUCGUGUAUAAAGAACAGAAAUGCAAUCUUCGGAAGACAGAGAAGUCCAAGAUUAAGGCACCAGCAGAUCUUCUAUGUGAUGAGUUUGGCCUUGUGGUUUCUAGAUGGCAUUGUAUACCUGUGUGUUCACACAGCCCCUUCCCUCCCGCCUCUCUUAUAAAGGCGCUAAUCUUAAUCACAAGGGCUCCACCAGGGAGGGAAAUGUGUUCUGACCCAGCCAUACACCCAAGUCCAGGGAAGGAGUGAGUGCGUGAGAGCAGACCUCAAGAGAUCACCCCACUCUCUACCUCCUCAGCAGACACACUUUCUUUAUUCUUCAUGAACCUCAAAACCCAAGUUCAGUCUCUACCACCUGCUGAAAGCAAAGGAAACCACUGUCGGGGCCCCCCCCCAAAAAAAAACCCACCUGCUCUCAGUUCCCAAAUAAACAUUUUGGCUUCAC